rnacentral:rRNA from 1 species
UAAGGAAUAUUGGUCAAUGGACGCAAGUCUGAACCAGCCAUGCCGCGUGAAGGAUGAAGGUCCUCUGGAUUGUAAACUUCUUUUAUAUGGGACGAAAACGGGAUUUUUAUCUCAAUUGACGGUACUAGAGGAAUAAGCACCGGCUAACUCCGUGCCAGCAGCCGCGGUAAUACGGAGGGUGCGAGCGUUAUCCGGAUUUACUGGGUUUAAAGGGUGCGUAGGUGGGCUUAUAAGUCAGUGGUGAAAUCUCCGAGCUUAACUUGGAAACUGCCGGUGAUACUAGAAGUCUUGAAUUAUCUGGAGGUAAGCGGAAUUUGUCCUGUAGCGGUGAAAUGCGUAGAUAUGACAUAGAACACCAAUUGCGAAGGCAGCUUACUACAUAUAAAUUGACGCUGAGGCACGAAAGCGUGGGGAUCAAACA